GAGGGUAUAGCUCAGUGGUAGAGCACAUGCCUAGCAUGCAAGAGGUCAUGGGUUCAAUCCCCAGUACCUCCA
rfam:Camelus ferus unplaced genomic scaffold scaffold2038, whole genome shotgun sequence.